rnacentral:lncRNA from 1 species
AAAGUCAAGGACCCUGUGAAAGACAAAGCCUGAGGACCGAGGGCUGACAAGGACCAGGCCCCAAGAUGAAACACAAGGGCCAAGGCCAAGGCUCUGGUUGUGUGGUCAAUAGAGGGGAUCCUCCUGCCCACAAACGUGAUAAAAACCAGGUAAAUGUGUGCUGGCUCCCAGCAACCCAGAGGACUCUGUUACUGCUCCUUAUUGUUGAGACUUGGGGGCUUCAAGGAUUGCUGUGCCCUCUCUGAUCUGUUUCCUCCACUGCAAAUAGCAAGUUGUGAAGAUUAAGCGAUCAAAAUGUUACACUGUGCAUAGACUCUGAUUUCUACCUCCCCUGCCCCCGUGACCCCUUCCUGAGGGAAACUGCCGCUCCCAGGCCAUGACUGGGGUCAUGGUCUCUACGAAUCUCUGCUGAGACCUCCUCCCUGCGAGGGACUGAACAGCAGAGGAGCCCAACACAUAAAAACGUACAUGAAUGCACUUUAGAAAACUCUGAAGGUUAAUAAAAUGUUCCUUCUGAUUGUUAAUACAAAGCAGAAUGAUCUGACUCCUCUUUUGCUCCCUCUCCGGUAGCCACCCUGCCGCCCAGCGCUGUUUCCCCACCCCCACCUUUAGGUACCCCCAGCGCUGCUCUUUGUCAUUCCUGGGCCCUGGAGGGACCUCCUGAGCUGGCUGCAGAAACUGGGCUGGGGGCUGGGGGCAGUGUGACAAUCUUUGCAUGUGGAUAUCCUUCGAGUUUACAAAACACAGCUGCAGAUGUUAUCUGCCUUCAUCCUUUCCAUCUCUGGUCUUAGGAAUUCUUACACCCAUUUCGCAGAGCGGACAAGUGAGAAGGGCACCAAUUUAUAGUCAUCCAUCAGGAUGUAGCCUGUCCAUCUAUACUAACAAGCCCCUCGUUUUUAGCUGGCCCUUUGGCCACCCAGAAUGCAGAUUUUUUUCCCAGCUUUCUGCUCAGCUCCUGGGGGGAGGCAUCUCUUGUGAGGCAGAGCAGGUGCAGCAGCUCAGUUCCUUCCUCUUCUUCCAAAGACACUAAUUCUGUCACACGGUCCUCACCCUCAUGACCUGAUCUAAUCCUAGUGACCUCCCAAAG